rnacentral:rRNA from 1 species
UACGAAGGGGGCUAGCGUUGUUCGGAAUUACUGGGCGUAAAGCGCACGUAGGCGGAUCGGUCAGUUAGGGGUGAAAUCCCAGGGCUCAACCCUGGAACUGCCUUUAAUACUGCCGAUCUCGAGUCCGGAAGAGGUGAGUGGAAUUCCGAGUGUAGAGGUGAAAUUCGUAGAUAUUCGGAGGAACACCAGUGGCGAAGGCGGCUCACUGGUCCGGUACUGACGCUGAGGUGCGAGAGCGUGGGGAGCAAACAGG